rnacentral:lncRNA from 1 species
AGUAUGUAAAUGGAAUAAAAUCAACCUGUGGUACAAAAAUAUUUUUAACAUCCUAGAUGUAUCCUCCAAUAGCUGACUGUAAAUGACACAUUUGCCCAAGAAUAUCAAAAUUUCAAAUCUACACAGGAAGUUCUUUGUUUGAGAGCAGGAUGGAGUGGAGUUAUUUUACUGUGUUUACAUGCAGCUUGGAAGUUAACAAUAACUAAAAGAAUACACCAGGAGUAUAUAAACAGCAUACAUGAAUGAAUGAAUGGAGAUAAUUCAGUUUAGUGACCCAAUGUAUUGUGUUCAAAGGAGACUCCAUCCAACAAUUCAAAGACAUGUUAAUGCAGUGAGGCAACUGAUGGCAAAUGAUGGCUUUGUGGCAGUUAAUGAAAACUACAUGGUAUUUUAAACUGAUGGUGGCCAACAGUGACAGAAAAUUUCUCAACCAAUAGUUACAUUCAGUUGAAAAUGAUGGCAUAUCUUAUACCGACUAUACUGCAUUAUGACAAACAGUGGAAAACAUUGAUAUACUACAAUGACAGUGGAACUGAAUAGAAACUGGUGACAUUUUAGCUCCAUAUUGUUUGUACUAUUUUCUGUCACCUAGUGAAGAAAUGUCAAAAUUCAUAAGCAGUUUUGUUAUACUAUUGACUAUUAUGAA